CCAGACUCCUACGGGAGGCAGCAGUGGGGAAUAUUGCACAAUGGGGGAAACCCUGAUGCAGCAACGCCGCGUGAGUGAAGAAGUAUUUCGGUAUGUAAAGCUCUAUCAGCAGGGAAGAAAAUGACGGUACCUGAGUAAGAAGCCCCGGCUAACUACGUGCCAGCAGCCGCGGUAAUACGUAGGGGGCAAGCGUUAUCCGGAUUUACUGGGUGUAAAGGGAGCGUAGACGGCGAUGCAAGUCUGAAGUGAAAGCCCGGGGCUCAACCCCGGGACUGCUUUGGAAACUGUAUGGCUGGAGUGAUGGAGAGGCAAGCGGAAUUCCUAGUGUAGCGGUGAAAUGCGUAGAUAUUAGGAGGAACGCCAGUGGCGAAGGCGGCUUACUGGACUGUAACUGACGUUGAGGCUCGAAAGCGUGGGGAGCAAACAGGAUUAGAUACCCUGGUAAUA
rnacentral:rRNA from 1 species